GAUGAACGCUAGCGGCAGGCUUAAUACAUGCAAGUUGAGGGGCAGCAUGAUAUACGCGAGUAUAUUGAUGGCGACCGGCGGACGGGUGAGUAAUAGGUAGGAGACCUACCUCAUACAGGGGGAUAGCAUAGAGAAAUCUGUGGUAAUACCCCAUGAGGUUAUAUGAAUAGAGGCAUAUAAUCAAAGCAUAAGCGAUUAUGCGGUAUGAGAGGGGCCUACUGACCAUUAGCUAGUUGGUGAGGUAAGGGCUCACCAAGGCGAAGAUGGUUAGGGGUUUUGAGAGAGAGACCCCCCACAUUGGAACUGAGAGACGGUCCAGACUCCUACGGGAGGCAGCAGUAGGGAAUAUUGGGCAAUGGGCGAAAGCCUGACCCAGCCAUGCCGCGUGAAGGAAGACGGCCUUAUGGGUUGUAAACUUCUUUACUACGCGAAUAGAGGUUAGUACGAGAAUACUAAAUAGGAAGGUAGUGUAAGUAAAAAAGCAACCGGCUAAACUCCGUGACCC
rnacentral:rRNA from 1 species